rnacentral:rRNA from 1 species
GAUGAACGCUGGCGGCGUGCCUAACACAUGCAAGUCGAACGGAGAUUACGGACGGAAGUUUUCGGAUGGAAGACUGUAAUUCUUAGUGGCGGACGGGUGAGUAACGCGUGGGCAACCUGCCCUAUACAGGGGGAUAGCAGCUGGAAACGGCUGGUAAGACCGCAUAAGUCGGUUAAAUCGCAUGAUUUGAUCGGGAAAUGAGCAAUCAGGUAUAGGAUGGGCCCGCGUCCGAUUAGCCAGUUGGCAGGGUAAAAGCCUACCAAAGCGACGAUCGGUAGCCGGUCUGAGAGGUCGGACGGCCACAUUGGGACUGAGACACGGCCCAAACUCCUACGGGAGGCAGCAGUGGGGGAUAUUGCACAAUGGAGGAAACUCUGAUGCAGCGACGCCGCGUGAGUGAAGAAGUAUUUCGGUAUGUAAAGCUCUAUCAGCAGGGAAGAUGAUGACGGUACCUGACUAAGAAGCCCCGGCUAACUACGUG